AGCAGGACAGGCAAGCAAUGAGGAGCCGGCAGACAGCGGGAAGAGCGCGGGCAGACCGGCAGAAGGCAAGCCAUGGACAAGGAGGGACAAACACUCAGCAGCCCAUCCAUCCCAUCUGCUGCCCCAGGUUCAUCUUGCUAAGAU